ensembl:snRNA U6 U6 spliceosomal RNA
GUUCACUUUGGCAGCAUGUAUACUAAAAUUGUAACUAUACCAAGAAGACUAGCAUGGCUGCUGCAAAAGGAUGACAUGCAAAUUCAUGAAGCAUUCCAUAUAGUU